UUAUAAUGAUGAUCUCAAUUAACACCAUCUUUCGACUGAAAACUGUGCUGUGAAUAUCAGUUACUGAUAUAAUAU